UACGGAGGGUGCGAGCGUUGUCCGGAAUCACUGGGCGUAAAGGGCGCGUAGGUGGCCGAGCAAGGUCGCGGUGAAAGCCCGGGGCUCAACCCCGGGUCGGCCGUGGCAACUACUGGGCUGGAGCACUGUAGGGGCGGGUGGAAUUCCGGGUGUAGCGGUGAAAUGUGUAGAGAUCGGGAGGGACACCGGUGGCGAAGGCGGGUCUCUGGGCAUCUCCUGACGCUGAGGCGCGAAAGCGUGGGGAGCAAACGGG
rnacentral:rRNA from 1 species